rnacentral:lncRNA from 1 species
GUACAUAGGACAUAUAGAUAAAUUCAUGUAAAAAUUAACAUAUUCUUUAUUUUCGAUGUCUACUAAAACAAAUUAUCAGUGUCAACGAAGCUGGUUUAGGUUCGUGUCAACAGUUAAGCAAUUAGGCCUCUAAAACAGUAUAAAAAAAUCGUAAGACUCUAAUCAUAAACUCUGUUCUUUAUACUCUCAAACAUGUCUUUGGGCAAUAUAUACUUUCUGGUCCGGAACGCAAAAUGGUAAAGAGUAAUCCAUCUUUCGUUUAGCUGCCAUGAGAGAAGCACACAGAAUUAAUAAAGAAUAACAAAGCUCAUACUAGAAGCUAGCGCAUAUCUCAAGCUCUAUUCACCAAUACCUUUAAUUUAUCAUAUGAUGCAGCAACAGCGUCGAGGAUUUACUAACACAUUGUCCAUCAUUAAAUUUAGAAAUCCGGCCGUAUAUACAUGUCCAAAUAACUGUUUUUGUAAAUUUUAGAAAUCCGUAUACACAUACAUGUAAAUUUUUGCGAAAUAAAAACAAAAACUAUAUACUUAGCAAACAAAAUCCGAAUUAUGCUCUUGAUUGCAGUGAUAAAAUGAUAAGCUGAAAAAUAAACGAGAAAAAGUAAUACAUAAUCAUUUCUCAAAGAAGCAACAUAUCUGACAAUGACAUGGCCAAAACAUUUUCAUUAGAAAACCAAAUUGUCAAUACUAUUACAAGGAAAACAUUUAUUAAUACCCAU